rnacentral:rRNA from 1 species
CGCUAGUAAUCGCAGGUCACCAUACUGCGGUGAAUACGUUCCCGGGCCUUGUACACACCGCCCGUCACACCACGGAAGUUGGCCACGCCCGAAGCCGUUACUCCAACCCUUGUGGAGGAGGACGUCGAAGGUGGGGCUGAUGACUGGGGUGAAGUCGUAACAAGGUAGCCGUACCGGAAGGUGCGGCUGGAUCACCUCCUAA